rnacentral:rRNA from 1 species
UACGUAGGGUGCAAGCGUUGUCCGGAUUUAUUGGGCGUAAAGAGCUCGUAGGCGGUUUGUCGCGUCGGAUGGGAAAACCCGGGGCUCAACCCUGGGCCUGCAUUCGAUACGGGCAGACUAGAGUAUGGCAGGGGAGACUGGAAUUCCUGGUGUAGCGGUGAAAUGCGCAGAUAUCAGGAGGAACACCGGUGGCGAAGGCGGGUCUCUGGGCCGAUACUGACACUGAGGAGCGAAAGCGUGGGGAGCGAACAGG